GUGGGGAAUUUUGGACAAUGGGCGCAAGCCUGAUCCAGCAAUGCCGCGUGCAGGAAGAAGGCCUUCGGGUUGUAAACUGCUUUUGUACGGAACGAAACGGUCCUGGUUAAUACCUGGGGCUAAUGACGGUACCGUAAGAAUAAGCACCGGCUAACUACGUGCCAGCAGCCGCGGUAAUACGUAGGGUGCAAGCGUUAAUCGGAAUUACUGGGCGUAAAGCGUGCGCAGGCGGUUUUGUAAGACAGACGUGAAAUCCCCGGGCUCAACCUGGGAAUGGCGUUUGUGACUGCAAAGCUGGAGUGCGGCAGAGGGGGAUGGAAUUCCGCGUGUAGCAGUGAAAUGCGUAGAUAUGCGGAGGAACACCGAUGGCGAAGGCAAUCCCCUGGGCCUGCACUGACGCUCAUGCACGAAAGCGUGGGGAGCAAACAGGAUUAGAUACCCGGGUAGUCC
rnacentral:rRNA from 1 species